rnacentral:rRNA from 1 species
UACAGAGGGUGCUAGCGUUGUUCGGAAUCAUUGGGCGUAAAGGGCGUGUAGGCGGUUUGUUAAGUCAUGUGUGAAAUCCCUCGGCUCAACCGGGGAAGGACGCAUGAAACUGGCAAGCUAGAGUACCAAAGAGGGGGGUGGAAUUCCCGGUGUAGCGGUGAAAUGCGUAGAGAUGUGGAGGAACACCGAUGGCGAAGGCAGCCCCCUGGGUUAACACUGACGCUCAGGCACGAAAGCGUGGGGAGCAAACAGG